GGGGGAAUAGCUCAGUGGUAGGGCAUAUGCUUAGCAAGCAGGAGGUCCUGGACUCAACCUCCAGCACCUCCA
rnacentral:tRNA from 1 species